GGGAGGUCUCUGAGCUGCCUCCAUGGAAGGCGGUAGUGAGACUGAGCGCUUCUAGGUUGCAGCAAGUGGAGGUAGAGUAGCAGAAGAGUCUUCCAACCUUGGGAACCGCCCUGCUGGCCAGAUCUGGAGCUCCUCUGACUGUCGAACAAGACGUUGAGCAGAGUAGCCACUAGAGGGCGCGUUGGCCCCGCACACCGGGACGCCAGCUGUAUCGCCCCAGGACUCCUUCCUCUCACAGAACAGGAUCCGAUUUACCACAAUCCAUAGUUAAACACGUGAGAGCCUAGCACGUGGUAGUACCCACGAGCAACCAAGCUUCUGGCCAGGAGUGGCUGGCAGCCCUGGGGCUGAGAACAACAUCUGCCUCUACCUCCAGGGUGCAAGGAGCCCGAAGCAGAGCGUGCCUAAUGCAGGGCAUGAAAAAUAUGUCAGUCUUGGCUAACGUUCCCUACUGUGCCAGCUGCUGGGUCCGGGGGUUGAAGGUGCAGGAGGGAGGUCCCGGGAGCGCUUAGGAUCGUAACAUGGAUUUUGACCUGAAACCUGCAAAGAACAAACCUUUACAGGCCCCAGACAACAAGACGGGUAUGGAGACGACAAUGGCAGCUUUGAGCCAGGCCACCCUCAUCCACACUCCCAGAGGGUGCAAGUCACUGAGUUGGCUCCUUGGAGACCUGUCUGUUCUGAGAUUAGAAAGCCACCGCCACUCCUCCCCACCUAUGACUCUCAGACACAGCCCUCAGAAACAGAAUUCCCUAGCCCCCCCCCCUUCUCUGCUCACACAUCAACACCCAUGCCCACACAUUCCCUAGCUGCCUGACUGCUCCUUUCUACCUUGAGCAUAUUCACUGGAUUGUCUAUCUACAGCAUCCCUCCCAUCUAUCCUACUUAGGAUUAGUGUUGCUGUGAUGAAACACCAUGACCAAAAGCAAAGUGGGGAGCAAAGGGUUUAUUUGGCUUGUUCUUGUACAUUGUGGUCCCAUCAUUGAACAGGUCAGAAAAGGAACUCCAACAGGGCAGGAAUCUGAAGGAAGAAACUGAUGUAGAUGCGAUGAAGGAGUGCUGCUUACUAACUUGCUCAUCAUGGUUUGCUCGGCCUGCUUUUUAUAGAGCCCAGGGCCACCUUGCCCAAGGAUGGUACCACCCACAAUGGGCUGGUGUUAGUCCCAAAAAUGGAAGAAGAAAGACCACUGUCUCAAAUCAUCAUGGUCAAAUCAAUUAAAGCAAGCAAUAAUUAAAGCAA